rnacentral:rRNA from 1 species
UACGUAGGGUGCAAGCGUUGUCCGGAAUUAUUGGGCGUAAAGAGCUCGUAGGCGGUCUGUUGCGUCGGCUGUGAAAACCCGGGGCUCAACUCCGGGCCUGCAGCCGAUACGGGCAGACUAGAGUUCGGCAGGGGAGACUGGAAUUCCUGGUGUAGCGGUGAAAUGCGCAGAUAUCAGGAGGAACACCGGUGGCGAAGGCGGUUCUCUGGGCCUGUACUGACGCUGAGGCGCGACAGCGUGGGGAGCAAACAGG